UGGGGAAUUUUGGACAAUUGGGCGAAAGCCUGAUCCAGCAAUGCCGCGUGUGUGAAGAAGGCCUUCGGGUUGUAAAGCACUUUUGUCCGGAAAGAAAUCCUUGGCUCUAAUACAGUCGGGGGAUGACGGUACCGGAAGAAUAAGCACCGGCUAACUACGUGCCAGCAGCCGCGGUAAUACGUAGGGUGCAAGCGUUAAUCGGAAUUACUGGGCGUAAAGCGUGCGCAGGCGGUUUGCUAAGACCGAUGUGAAAUCCCCGGGCUCAACCUGGGAACUGCAUUGGUGACUGGCAGGCUAGAGUAUGGCAGAGGGGGGUAGAAUUCCACGUGUAGCAGUGAAAUGCGUAGAGAUGUGGAGGAAUACCGAUGGCGAAGGCAGCCCCCUGGGCAAUACUGACGCUCAUGCACGAAAGCGUGGGGAGCAAACAGGAUUAGAUACCCUGGUAGUCCACGCCCUAAACGAUGUCAACUAGUUGUUGGGGAUUCAUUUCCUUAGUAACGUAGCUAACGCGUGAAGUUGACCGCCUGGGGAGUACGGUCGCAAGAUUAAAACUCAAAUGAAUUGACGGGGUCAUAGCUGUUUCCU
rnacentral:rRNA from 1 species